rnacentral:tRNA from 1 species
GAGGGCGGCUUAAUUAGACUGCUAAUCUACUUCCCCCAGGACUAACCUCUUGGCCCCCU